rnacentral:rRNA from 1 species
UACGUAGGGUGCGAGCGUUAAUCGGAAUUACUGGGCGUAAAGGGCGUGUAGGUGGUUUCGUAAGUCUGGCGUGAAAUUUCUCGGCUUAACCGAGGCAGGUCGUCGGAUACUGCGGAACUAGAGGACGGUAGAGGCGUGUGGAAUUCCGGGUGUAGUGGUGAAAUGCGUAGAGAUCCGGAGGAACACCAGUGGCGAAGGCGACACGCUGGGCCGUACCUGACACUGAUGCGCGACAGCAUGGGGAGCAAACAGG